rnacentral:rRNA from 1 species
AGCGAACGCUGGCGGCAGGCCUAACACAUGCAAGUCGAACGAACCUUUCGGGGUUAGUGGCGGACGGGUGAGUAACACGUGGGAACGUGCCUUUAGGUUCGGAAUAACUCAGGGAAACUUGUGCUAAUACCGAAUGUGCCCUUCGGAGGAAAGAUUUAUCGCCUUUAGAGCGGCCCGCGUCUGAUUAGCUAGUUGGUUGAGGUAAUGGCUCACCAAGGCGACGAUCAGUAGCUGGUCUGAGAGGAUGAUCAGCCACAUUGGGACUGAGACACGGCCCAAACUCCUACGGGAGGCAGCAGUGGGGAAUCUUGCGCAAUGGGCGAAAGCCUGACGCAGCCAUGCCGCGUGAAUGAUGAAGGUCUUAGGAUUGUAAAAUUCUUUCACCGGGGACGAUAAUGACGGUACCCGGAGAAGAAGCCCCGGCUAACUUCGUG